UUUAUUAAUACAAAAGGACAAACUAUAAUAAACAUUAAAAUAAUACUAAGGACGGCAUUACGUAUAAUUGCAUAAAGACGCAAAUAUUAGGCUAUUUAACCGUUUCAUUGAAAAAUACUGUUUAAAAGAGUUCUUUCCAUGGAAAUUAGUAUAUAGGACUUCCAUCCAUUCAUGUAGUCUUUGCAUGCAACAAAUGUAGCAAAACCUGUUGCGUAGGCCUAUUUAAAUCUAGCAGGUGGCCUUGUUUGAGACUAAUGAACGUCAGGUGCUUCUUCUGAUAGACGUGACCACGCCUCCACCGCGAGUUUGCGUCUGUUGUCAAGAAGCGCGUCGAUGGUUACCGACAUGGCGUAACUGUUUCAGUUGUAGCGAAUGACGAUAAACUCUUACCUGUGCCUGCUUUAAUUUAAAACAAUGUCAAGAUAGCAUUCACUCAGUUUUGAUCUAGAUUCAUUUCGUAUCAAGCUACAGUAAGUUAAAGUCAUAGGUAGUAAGUGUUGUGCGCUGUCUGUAGCCUUGUAGUUCCUUGACGUUGUAUCACAUUAGGAACAUUAGAUCAGGUGUGCAUGAAGAGAAUGAAGAUGAAAGAGAAGUGCUGGUACAAGAACAGAGUUACUGUCGAACUCAGGCUCGCAAGCUUUCCUUGGAAACAAAUCGCAGACGAAAGGCUCUAGAAGAGAGAAGGAAACAGUGGGAUGUUCAAGAGCAGAGACUGAGGGAGAAUAUUCUACAGGGUGCAGGGUGCCACUGAGAACUUCCAAAGAGCUCAUCUCCCUCGUUCCCAGAGAAAAAGACCAGCCUUUAAGAGAAGAACACUCAAUCUUGAUGAAGCACCUCAUCAUAUUCAGGGCAGUCCUCACUUAUAUAUCCAACAAUCGCCAUUUUUGGCCAGUGCCUCCACCAUUAGCAGGAGCUGCACUCCCACCCCAAAGCCUUCAGGGGGCCCCCAUCACCUACGUGCUUUAUCUGCAGCUGAGGCCUACGCCAAACUCCUGCAGGAGAAGAGCCUGAGUAACUUCAAGAACAACCAGCUGCACUUCCUUAGUGAGCAACAGGAGACCCAGAAAAAAAGAGCAGUCCGAUCCACAGGUGACCCUCAAAGUUUUCUUGCUCACAAUGGCCCGUUGUCUUCUUCGCCUCAAGUCUGUGCCAGUCUGUCCCAUGUCACCAUCAAUGGUGAUAGUCUGAACAGUGGUGUCAAUGGAGCCUCACAAAUGGGUGGCUUUUUCUUGUCUUCCUCUAACGUGAGAAAUCCAAUAAGGAGACAAGCUAUGGUGAAGAACCGAGUUUCAUUGGAAAACAGCAGGAACCAACCUGCAGAAACAACAUCGAGAAAGCCCAAUUUUCCUUAUCAGGUCACUGUGCCAAAACCUCAACUCCCAAAUAAAAAUAGUCAUGCAGAUGACUGUGAAGGCCCAGAGGGGUCAGACGGUGCCCAUGAAGUAGUGGACAGUGCACAGACGCAUAAGUUCUGCAACGGUCCGAUUGCUCCAUUGAGCCAGAGAAUACAGUCGCUCGGUGUCAGCGCUUUGUAAUUAGAAGAUCCUGCAGUCACUCAAGAGACUUAAUCAAUGCCUGCAAUGUCAGUGUCAUUUUAAAAUCAUGUACAUUUAAUCCACACAGUCAAAACUUACGUUCAUCACAGAUUUGAGGUGAGGGCAGUAGCUUUUAAUUUGGCCCUAUGUAUGCGUUUCUUGUUUUAAUGUUUUCAAAAUAUCAACAGCUGUUCCUGAUCACUUCCACUUGAUUUAACAGAUGUGCAAGAUGCAGCUGGUGGCAACCCAGCAGUAAAGGGUAUCUUUGCUUUGGGUCCUGCAUUUGUGAGUAUUGCCUGUGUAUUCAGAGGAAGCGAUCUGUUCCCCUGCACUAAUGUGACCUGCUCACAGCCCUGUCCCAUCUUUCUGUCUUCUCAUCCUUGAAGAACCAGACCGGUGAGACUGUAGGUGUCACCGUGCGUAGGCGGCGAGCCUCUGCUGAUAAUCGCACCCGAACUCAACAGCGUUACUGACUACACCUCCCAUGAUCCACCACUCCCUCGAACACCUUCUCUCAGCUGCACUUUGCAAACCUUCAAACCUUAUGAUUAUAUGCUGUACUGUAUAAUGCAGAGACAUACUUAAAUACUUGAGUGGUAUUGAGAGGUUUAACUGUUUUUUUAAAGGAAUAGUUGACCCAAAAAUGAAAAUCAAGAUGUAAAUGGAUUUGUUUCUUCACAGAAGAACGUAUUGAGAAAUUUAGCAUUGCGUCACUUGUUCACCGAUGGAUCCUCUGCAGUUUUUAACUUCAGUUGUGUCCUCUACUUAUAAUAUUGCUUUCUCCAGUGGAAAGAUUGUCUCUUCUGAAUCAGGAGAGAAAUAUGCACAGAAGAAAAAAAAAUAAUAAUAAUAAACAGUCCAAAACUGAUAUGUACUGUAAGAUU
ensembl:lncRNA